rnacentral:rRNA from 1 species
GUGAACUCGAAGAGUAGGGCGGGACACGUGGUAUCCUGUCUGAAUAUGGGGGGACCAUCCUCCAAGGCUAAAUACUCCUGACUGACCGAUAGUGAACCAGUACCGUGAGGGAAAGGCGAAAAGACCCCCGGCGAGGGGAGUGAAAAAGAACCUGAAACCGUGUACGUACAAGCAGUGGGAGCACCUUCGGGUGUGACUGCGUACCUUUUGUAUAAUGGGUCAGCGACUUAUAUUCUGUAGCAAGGUUAACCGUUUAGGGGAGCCGCAGGGAAACCGAGUCUUAACUGGGCGUUAAGUUGCAGGGUAUAGACC